AUGGGGGAGCUACCUGCCGCGGUCGCAAUGGAAGCAGAGGAGCAGACCCCACCUGCCCCUCCCUCACGAGCAGGACAGGGCUGCCGGCUGGGCACGCCCCUACUCCUCCGCCUCCUUGAUCAGGAGACCCCCUUCCCCUACUGCUGCUUGGCGCGCCGCAUCACUAGUCACCUCCUCAUGCAAGAAGGGAGAGGAUGGAAGGGAAUGCAAUGGAAGAAGAAAUUGAAAAGGAGAGGAGAUGAGAGGGGGCUGACCGUCGGGGUUCUCCAUGGCAUCAGCAUCGGGGCAGCCUUCCCGUCCAUGCCAUGGCGGCCCGGAGCGCGAGCGACGACGACGUGCUGGAUGGAUCUGGUAGCGAGAGGAGACAAGUUGCCGGAGACACGCCGACGACGCGGUGGACCAAACCCUAUACACAGGAGACGGUCGCGCAUGGCCGCUGGAGCACGCGAGCACCGGAUCUGGGCGGAGCGCGAGGCCGCCGCCGCGCCUCCCCCGCCGCAGGGCCGGGUGCGGGUCACCUCCCACGAAAGGAGACAGAGCGGAGCCGGCGCGGACAUGGAUGGGACUCGGACGCGCUCGCGGUCGGUGGUGGCAACCAUGUCCAUGACGGCCAGUGAAGGGGUGGGUGGCGGCGAGGGGAGGGAUCUGGAUCGGGAGCGACGAUUCUGGCUGGAGGCGAGGAAGGAGUGGAGGGGGGGAAGGGGAGGGUGCAGACGAGGGGAGAGGUGGGCGGCGGAAGGAAGGGGAGGACGGCGAAUGGCGGGAGCAGGUGGUGGCGGCGGCGGUCCAAUGGAGGGAAAGGGGAGAGGGGUUAGGGUUUGGGCUGCGGGGAGAGGAGUGGUGUGCAGGGGAGAGGAGGAGAGGGGGGAGGAGUGGUGUGCCCGCGAGGGGGGAGGAGUGGUUGAGUGGUGGCAUUUUGCCAAUGACAGGUGGGCCCGCGAGGAAUUAGGCCCACAUGUCAGUGUCCUCAACGACAUGUGGUGUAGGGAGACGCCACUGCUGUCUGAGGGAGACGCCGCCGCCGCAUCUCUCAAUCCCAUCCAUCGUUGCCGCCGCCGCCGCCGCAUCUCUCAAUCCCAUCCAUCGUUGCCGCCGCCGCUGCCGCAUCUCUCAAUCCCAUCCAUUGUUGCCGCCGCCGCCGCCGCCUCUGCCACCGCCGAGAUCCGAGACGAUCCGCCCCCGCCGAGGACCGAGUGGAGCGGCUGCCUCCACGUUGCCGCCGCCGGCGCUGGCCAGGCUCCCCACCGAUGGGCGCUCCGGGUCGCCGCUCCUCAAGGCCAGUUCCCCUUGCUGCUCCAGAUCGCGCCUCGGUUUGUGAUCCCUUGGGGAUCCUGCCGGUGCUGGAGGCGUCCGCGAUGGUGCGGACUUAGGACCGAGCGGCGGGGCACGUUACGUGUUCUGGUUGAGAGAUUGGUCGGGCUGGCAUGGGAAAUGAACUGCCGUCGAUGGAUUUUUUUGGCAGCUUGGCUGCAUGUUGCUUCAGAUUUGGUACUAUCCCCAUCUUUGAUCAAUUACAUCUAUAUUCUUGCUUGCAAGGUUUGUAGGUUCAUUGGAACAAAUGUUCAAAAGGAAGAUGCACUGUCACUGGUCCAGGAUAAAAUUAAUUACAGUGGGCAAAAUAGUUCAGCUCUUUGUUUUACAAGUUUCAGGAUUGAAGGGGAGAUGCUACAACAGUACAACUACAAGUUCCCUUGCUUCUUUAAGUUGCUCACUCGGAAGGUGGUCUUCUCCAAGGCCUCCCUAGCCUUUGAACAUGACCGCUCCAUCAAGGCUGCAAUUAUAUGCCUGGGGGUGGUCAAACUGAAAAGUUCAGGGGAGAUUCAGAUUACAUGUGGGCGAAUCCACCCGCGCGCCGCCAGGACUUCCCCUCUCCCCUUCUCGUCUCUCCGCUGCCGGAGGCGCUCCGCCGAUGAAGCCUGGGCGGGCGUCAGUGAGGGCGGCGGCGGGGCCUCUUCCUGGGCGCCCUCCUUUCUUCUCCUUCCCCCUUCGCGGGGUGUGGCGGCUGCGCGGCGGUGCACGCCGAUAUGCGAGAUCCGGCUGCGGGGUGCAGCGGCGGUCCUCGGCGGGCGGCUUGCUGUGGCCGGUGUCGUCGGCGUGGCCUUGGCGCAUCGUGGGGUGGACGCGGUCGGCCAGGGCAAGCGGCCAGAUCUGAGCGCCGCGCCCUUUCCUGGAUGCGGCGACGGGGAUGGCUGGCGGUGCCACGGUGGCUGCACCCUGGCAACGCGGCUGCCGGUGCUUUGGUGGCGGGGCUGGCUGGAGGAGGUGUAUCCGGUGGUGGCGUGCUGUGUCGGACCUAGGUUUGGUCCCGGCGAGUGGCUCGGCGUGGUGGCUGCUCUGGUCGGGGGCUACGGCGGCGCGGGGUGGUAUGGUGGCCUACCUGCUGCUUGGUUUCUACACGGCAGCUCGGCGGUUCCGGCUGCAGCGACGGUUGGCUUCUCCGCCGGCGUCGGCUCGUUUGCAGGGCUUGACCUCUCCCAGCUGCGGUCCGCCGCUCGUCUCGCGUCCCGGUGCUACAUGACCGAGCUCGUCCCGCGCCCGACGCGGCUAGACGGAGCUCGUCUCACGCACGGUGCAGCAGGACUGACCUUUGGAUCGGGCGUGUUGGCCGAGGUGAAAACCUGUUCUAUCUUCGGAUGGACCGGCAGCGGCGAAGAUCGUUCCCUUCUUGAAGGCGUCGUCGCGGCUCUCAUUGCCUGUCAUGCGGUUCCGGGGGAAACUCUGAUCUUUGGAUCGGGCGGUGGCAGCGAUCCGGUGUCGUUCCCUUCAAGAAGGCGCCGCCUUGGAGCGCAUGGAGGUGAUUUUGAUAUGGAGAUUUCAGUUGAGAAGAUAUUCCUUGCACAGAAAAUGAUGAUCUACAAGUGCAACCUUGCUGGUGAGCCUGUUGUCACAGCGAUUUCAAUCAAAUUAUGGUUCUUGGUUGAAGCCCUCUUGAUGAACGACACCCCAUGCCACUAG
rnacentral:rRNA from 1 species